UACGAAGGGGGCUAGCGUUGUUCGGAAUUACUGGGCGUAAAGCGCGCGCAGGCGGCUUCUCAAGUCAGGGGUGAAAGCCCAGAGCUCAACUCUGGAAUUGCCUUUGAUACUGAGGAUCUUGAGUUCGGGAGAGGUGAGUGGAACUGCGAGUGUAGAGGUGAAAUUCGUAGAUAUUCGCAAGAACACCAGUGGCGAAGGCGGCUCACUGGCCCGAUACUGACGCUGAGGCACGAAAGCGUGGGGAGCAAACAGG
rnacentral:rRNA from 1 species